AAUUUUGGACAAUGGGGGAAACCCUGAUCUAGCCAUCCCGCGUGUAUGAUGAAGGCCUUCGGGUUGUAGAGUACUCUUGCCAGAGAAGAAAAGGCAUCUCCUAUUACGGGAUGCGGUUGACGGUAUCUGCAGAAUAAGCACCGGCUAACUACGUGCCAGCAGCCGCGGUAAUACGUAGGGUGCAAGCGUUAAUCGGAAUUAUUUGGCGUAAAGCGUGUGUAGGCGGGUCGAAAAGAAAGAUGUGAAAUCUCAGAGCUCAACCUUGAAACUGCAUUUUUAACUGCCGAGCUAGAGUAUGUGAGAGGGAGGUAGAAUUUGACGUGUAGCAGUGAAAUGCUUAGAUAUGUGGAGGAAUACCGAUGGCGAAGGCAGCUUCCUGGGAUAAUACUGACGCUCAGAGACGAAAGCGUGGGGAGCAAACAGG
rnacentral:rRNA from 1 species